rnacentral:lncRNA from 1 species
CUCCACUUUUAUAAAACUGGAAUAAAAUGGGAAAGUGCCAUAUUUAUAGUUCCUAAUUGAAGUUUUAAUGUCCUUUUGACACAAAAAGGUAUAUACAUAUCAGAGCUACGUAACCAUUUUUAUUCAACUGGACAAGUGUCAAACCUGUAGACUUAUAGGGCAAAACAAGAUUGGUCAGGAAAGAAUUGUUCCUAUAAUUGGUAAUCUGACACUAUGUCCUAUUGCCAUUUAAAAAGGUCCAUUUUUCAGUUUAUUCAAGUUUGUCGUUCUUCGUGGGUUUUUGUUGGUUUUUUUUUUUAUCUCCGAUAAAAAAAAAUAUUCAGACUUUUGUAAUCUGUGUAUGCUGAUCUUCAUCAAAAGGUUCAUUCUCUGGAUCAGAGUCAGUGGUGUCAGAGUAUCUGUAAUGAUCAGGUUCAUUGUCACUAACAUCUGGUGUUACAGAAGUUGAACUGCUAGCCUCGGGAUUUGAUGGCUCUUCUACUGUUUUUGUGAAAAAUAGCUUCACCUUGAAGUUUGGAGAAAAAUAUCUGUUGGCUUUGUCUUUAUUUGCUUUGUCUAGAUCAUUUUUUGUUAAUGUAAGGAUUAAAUAUUCCUUGUCAUUAUCUGAGCGCUCUGUACUGAAAAUACCAUCAAGUUCCUGAUCUGCAACUAGACUUCCAUUUUCUACUUUGUCUGAAUUUUCAUCCAGUCCUAUGAAGAAUGUAUUUACCCAAAAGUGAAACAUUUUGUCCUUUUUCAACAUCUUGUUCUGUUUGUGGAAGAACUCCACUUUGAUAUCACCGCAUACCGGCAAAGGUUGAGGGAAUUCAAAGUACAUAUACUUGUCUUCACGUCUUGAGGGUCCUGAAGGGGAGGUGAAUAUCUUUACCUUUAGCUGGUACACCACAAACUGAGGAUUGCAAGUUCCGCCACUGAACAUGGGAAUUGUUUCAAACAUCAUCUUGUGAAACAGCAGUGCCACUGGUCUGUAAUCAAGGUGAUUCUUUAACAGGUAGCUAUAGUAGUACACGUAGCGUCUCUGACUGGGAAUUGUGACUCCCUUCUUGUCUCUGGUCCUUACUUCCCCAUAGAAAUCUAGGGCUUCUUGAGCCUUUAAAAACUUGCCUCGAUGCAACAAAUAUGCACAUAUCAUUACACCAGUUCGUCCCUUUCCAGCUUUACAGUGGAUUGCUGCAACAUGAUUGUCAUCUUCACUUAGCCAUUGGUCAAGAUCUUCACAAAAAGGUUUGAUAAGCUCUAACUGUGGUGGGUUAUGGUCUUCAAAGGGGUACUGUGCAACUCUGCAGUUAAAUUUGGCGGUGUCAUAAUGUCUUUCAGCACAUAGAUUGUAUAUCUUGUAAUGGUUUUUAUGCUUUGAAUCCAAAAACCUUACUACAUCAUCAAUAUUGUUCCGGUAUACUCCUUCAAGCCUCUCCGCAGGAAAACCCAUAGCAAUUAUGUUUGGAUAAAUAUAGGUCAGGUCCAGGUCGAAGCCAUCCUCCUGGUAGCGCCUUUUGUUCCUGCUGACGAUCUCUUUGAUGAUGGCGGUCAUGUCUGGCAGGCGGGGGCCGCUCCGGGGCGGGCCGCGGGGCCGGGCGGCGGGCGGCGGGGCCUGCUGCUCCCGGGGCUCAGCCCCGGCCGGGCCCGGCUCCCGCUCCUCCCGCUCCCCCCGCGGCGGCGGCGGCUCCCGGCGGCCGCCCCCCCUUCCUCCUCCUCCUCCGCCUCCUCCUCCUCCUCCUGCCGCUGCCGGGGCGGCCGAGCGGGGGGGCUCCGCAGCCGGGCCGAGUCCCUGAGGGAGCCGCCGCCGCCGCCGUCUUUGAGGCGAGCGAGGCGGAGAGAGCAGCUCUCCGGCGCUCCGGGCCCCGGCAAUGGUGACAGCGGCGCGGGCCCCCCCCCGGCCCGGCCCCGCUCCCCGCCCCGCUCCCCGCCCGGGGCGGCGGCGGCGGUGGCGGGCCCGGAGCCGCGCGGUGGGGCCGCGCUGCUACCGGGCGGGCGCUGGGCGGCGGCGGGGCGGCGGCUCCUCAGGGCGUGCGGGCGGGCGGCGCGGCCUGGCUCAUACCCCCACUCCCCGCGCCCAGCAGCGCCGCGCGAGCGCUACGCUCCCAUCAUGGCUGCAGCUUCCGAGAGGGGAGGCCGCGCCGCUCCGCCCCCUCCGCCACCCCGAAAAAGUAG